rnacentral:rRNA from 1 species
AGCAAUACGUUAGUGGCGCACGGGUGAGUAACGCGUGGGAACCUACCCUGGGGUACGGAACAACGGAGGGAAACUUCCGCUAAUACCGUAUACGCCUUACGGGGGAAAGAUUUAUCGCCCUGGGCGGGGCCCGCGUCUGAUUAGCUUGUUGGUGAGGUAACGGCUCACCAAGGCGACGAUCGGUAGCUGGUCUGAGAGGAUGAUCAGCCACACUGGGACUGAGACACGGCCCAGACUCCUACGGGAGGCAGCAGUGGGGAAUAUUGGACAAUGGGGGCAACCCUGAUCCAGCCAUGCCGCGUGAGUGAUGAAGGCCUUCGGGUUGUAAAGCUCUUUCGGCGGGGACGAUGAUGACGGUACCCGCAGAAGAAGCCCCGGCUAACUUCGUGCCAGCAGCCGCGGUAAUACGAAGGGGGCUAGCGUUGUUCGGAAUUACUGGGCGUAAAGCGCACGCAGGCGGUUUUCCGCG